AUGGAGAUCAUUUUUUCCAGUGCUUGUUACCCCUGUGUAUCUGGUUUAGGAAAAUGUCUAGUCAGGUCUGUUGCCCUUUUCUCAAUCAAGUGCUUGGGUUUAUUUAUUGAUGCAUUGAUUUUUUUUUUUCGGUGUUCGUUUGUGUCUGUUGUUGAGCUGGUAAUUAUGAAACCCCAUCCUUACCUGGGCUUUGGGAACCGGAUAAAGUGCCUGCAUGUUGUCCCUGGAAGGUGGUACAGAGGUGACAUUUUGUUAUUGUCCUGCACCCAUGAGUCGCAUGCAGAUACACUCUGCCCUGGAAGUGAAUCCACUCCUAUGCUGGACAUCCCCAGGCUCAUUCUUCUAAUCAUCAGCCACGAGAGACACUGUGUCAAGAGAGACUUCAGGAUUUGCUUUAUCUAUCCAUUCCCUUAGCUCUUCUGUAGGAAUAUAUAUAUAAUAUAUAUAUAU
rnacentral:lncRNA from 1 species